CCUUUACCUUUCUUAGUUGGUUAUUGAAGUCUUUUUUUAAGCUCUUCCAUACUGUGUCAAAUGCAUAUUUUUCUGUUGGACUUUGUGUCUGUUUCCUUUACUUUAGCUGUCCCCCUCUGUUUCUGUACCUUGAUCUUUGUCUCCAUAAAAAUUCUUUAGAGUUAGAUUUUUUUAAAUAUAAUUUCCCCUUUAUAAUUAUAUGUAGGCUCUGUUUUCUGGGAAGGUGGGUUACUCCCUUAAAUGCCAGUCCUUCCUUGAUGUUAUUCUCAACUUAUUUUCUGGGUUAUUACUAGUUUACCAGGUGGUCUGAGGGCUGUGACCACUGAGAGCUCCCUCCCCUUGAUGAUUCAAUUGAUCCUUGAGAUGCUGGUAGCAUAAAGACUUUCCUUAAGUUUGAGUGUCAGCUUUUUAUUUCAUUCUGAUCUUGAUCAUAUUAGGGGCUUAUCAAAUUCUAGCCCCAGGCUUAAGCUCAAAGUUUUGGUCUCAAGGUCUUCUUGAUUCAAUCAAGCACACUUUUGGUUGCCCUGUCCUGGGACUCUGUCCUUAGUUUUGGUCAAAAAGCUCCAGGGGGGUUCCCCCUGUUCACUGUGUUAUCACCCCAAACUGUGUAUUAUGUCCUCAUCCCAAGCCCAGACUGGCAUUCCUGCCUUUGCUCUGGGCCCACAUGGAACAGCCUCCUUCAGCCCAUAUUUCCUUGGGCUGGGAAUCUGAACUUCUCCACAGAGAAAGUACAUAUCAUAAAGAAUAACAUAGACUACAGGAAUAAUGAGACAGGUGGCUUUAUUUUACCAGAAGAGCAGAAGGUAACAGAAAUUUACCGGAUGGUCACUCUAUUUAUCUGA
rnacentral:lncRNA from 1 species